UUAUGCUACUAUUUUCAUUAACCUAUAAAUUAUUUGAUUAAUUUCCCUCCAAUAAAAAAAUCCUAAUUCAUUAUCAAUUAUCAGAUGUCAUCAAAAAUCAAAAUUAAUGACUUAUGAUACGAUCAUAAUAAUUGAGUUAAAGUUUAAGACUACCUAAAUAAUUAUCUCCAUCUAUUUUACUAUUCUGUAAUAAACAUCAAACCAUUUAACCAUGACGCUAAGCUACAGAACAGAUCUACAAAAAUUCAAAAUUGUAUUGAUUGAGAAACAAAAAUGGGUCCUCAACAGCAGGUGCUAUAAUAGCUACUGGCAGUUCCUGAAGUACUGGAACAUCAACCGUUGGUUCAGGAAAAACUGGAGCAUCUAAAGGUAAAGUAUCAUAAAUAUUUUCUAAGUUUUGUACAUGCAAAAUGAAAAAUAUUUUUAUUUUUAUAUUAAAA